rnacentral:rRNA from 1 species
UACGGAGGGAGCUAGCGUUGUUCGGAAAUACUGGGCGUAAAGCGCACGUAGGCGGAUCGUUAAGUCGGGGGUGAAAUCCUGGAGCUCAACUCCAGAACUGCCUUCGAUACUGGCGAUCUUGAGUCCGGAAGAGGUGAGUGGAACUCCUAGUGUAGAGGUGGAAUUCGUAGAUAUUAGGAAGAACACCAGUGGGCGAAGGCGGCUCACUGGUCCGGUACUGACGCUGAGGUGCGAAAGCGUGGGGAGCAAACAGG